GAUGAAGAACGGAGCGAAAUGCGAUACGUAAUGUGAAUUGCAGAAUUCAAUGAAUCAUCGAAUCUUUGAACGCACAUUGCGCCCGCCAGCACUCUGGCGGGCAUGCCUGUUCGAGCGUCAUUUCAACCAUCAAGCCCCAGGCUUGCGUUGGAGCCCUGCGGCUGCCGCAGCCUCCUAAAAGCAGUGGCGGGCUCGCUAUCACACCGAGUGCAGUAGAUUACUCUUCGCUCAGGGCGUGCAGCGGGUUCCGGCCGUGAAACCCCCUACUUUUAAAGGUUGACCUCGGAUCAGGUAGGAAUACCCGCUGAACUUAAGCAUAUCAAUAAGCGGAGGA
rnacentral:misc_RNA from 1 species